UGGGGAAUAUUGCGCAAUGGGCGAAAGCCUGACGCAGCGACGCCGCGUGAGGGAUGAAGGUUUUCGGAUCGUAAACCUCUGUCAGAAGGGAAGAAACCGCACUGUGCAAAUCAGCAGUUCCUUGACGGUACCUCCAAAGGAAGCACCGGCAAACCCCGUGCCAGCAGCCGCGGUAAUACGGAGGGUGCAAGCGUUAAUCGGAAUUACUGGGGGUAAAGCGCACGUAGGCUGCUUUGUAAGUCAGGGGUGAAAUCCCACGGCUCAACCGUGGAACUGCCUUUGAUACUGCUUAGCUUGAAUCCGGGAGAGGGUGGCGGAAUUCCAGGUGUAGGAGUGAAAUCCGUAGAUAUCUGGAGGAACAUCUGUGGCGAAGGCGGCCACCUGGACCGGUAUUGACGCUGAGGUGCGAAAGCGUGGGGAGCAAACAGG
rnacentral:rRNA from 1 species